rnacentral:misc_RNA from 1 species
UCCGGUUUGUCACCGGCAGUCUUAUUAGAGUGCCCUUGCGUAGCAACUAAUGAUAAGGGAUCCACUGUUGUCUAGUCCAGGUAAGGUUCUUCGCGUUGCGUCGAAUUGAACCACAUGCUCCACCGCUUGUGCGGGCCCCCGUCAAUUCCUUUGAGUUUCAGCCUUGCGGCCGUACUCCCCAGGCGGGGCACUUACUGCGUUAGCGACGGCACCGGGAGGGUCGCUCCCCCCGACGCCUAGUGCCCAUCGUUUACGGCGUGGACUAC